GGUCACGUCGUCUAGUGGUAAGGACAUCGGAUUUUGACUACUUUGGCAUCAUUCCGAAAGCCUGGGUUCGAUCCCCAGCGAGACCU